AGGUUGGCUCAAACGUCGUGGUUUAACUGGUUUGUAUAGUUUGUGUACGGGUCGGGCCCAGUGGGCCAGUGGCAGAGUCGCGCAUGUACACACUGAGACAGCGAGACAGAGAGGGGAUGCGGAGGUAAAGUGGUGGCAAGAUCGCUAUUUCGAAAAAGGAAGGAGCACGGAGCUUCUGCAGUAAGAGCCAAACCCCAAGUCCAAGAACAACCCGCAGAGGUCUUGCUGACAAUGGUGAUACCCGGUUGAAGAAUUUUGCACCGGAUUUGGAGAUUCAUGAGGUUUUGCACCAACAUUCUGUCGAUUUUGAUGAAAAUGGGGAUGCCCAGUUGGAUAGUUUUGCGUCUGGGGAUGUGGUUUCGGGAACUCGGGGGAAUCGUGUGAUGCUAAGUGGGAUAGUUUAACUGCCGGGAAGGGAAAUGGUGAUGCUCGGAUUGAAGCUAUUGGUUUUGGGGAUGGAGAGGGGAGGGUUAUGAGAUUAAUGUGGAAGAGUUGGAGAAUCUGUUGUCUCUUUUACAAAGUAGUGUUGAUGGGUCUUCGGAGUCGAGUCUUGAUGACAUGAGUUUGACCCGAAAUAAGGAAUUUGUGGUGAAAGUGCUUGGAAUGCCACUUGUUUCGGGCCAGAAUGUGAUUAGAUUUUCCAACUGGGGUAUGAAGGAGAACCCGAAUUUCAGGCAACACGAGCUCAAAAUAAGUUUAUUCUCACUUUGAAUGAGUUUAGUCUACCAACAAAAAAAAUAAUGUCGAUGAUGAAUAAAAAAUCAGAUAGUGACUUUAAUAUUGGUUGCAUUGGUAAGGAUGUGGAAAAUUUUUUAAGAAACAAAAGAAAAAAAUUAUUUGCAGCGGGAGAUGCACAAAGGCUAUAUGCUUAUUUUUUCGAUAGACAAUGUAAAGAACUUGGAUUUGUGUAUUCUAUGCAAGUUGAUAAGAAUGGAUGUAUAGAAAGUUGUUUUUGGACAGAUGCAAGGUCAAGAGCUGCAUAUCAAUACUUUGGGGAUAUUGUAACUUUUGAUACCACGUAUUUGACGAACAUCUAUAAUAUGCCAUUUGUGUCAUUUUCUGGAAUUAACCAUCAUCACCAAAUCAUAAUGUUUGGUUGUGCCUUAUUGGUUAAUGAAACAGUAGAAUCUUAUAUAUGGUUAUUGAGAACAUGGCAAGAAGUAAUGUUUGGGAAGGCUCCUAAAACUUUAAUUACUGAUGACAACAAGGUGAUGGCAAAGGCUAUUGCAGAGGUACUCCCAAAUACAGCUCAUAGGUUGUGUUUAUGGCAUAUUUUACAAAAGUGUUCAGAACAUUUAGCCCAUAUAUAUAACAAAUUUCCAGACUUUCAAAAAAAUUUUCGUCAUUGUAUCUAUGAGACAAUCACGAUUGAUGAGUUUGAGGAAGAAUGGACUUCAAUAUUGGUCAAGUAUGUGUUAGUAGAUAACACUUGGCUGCAAAAUCUUUACCGUCGACGGGAUAUGUGGGUUCCAGCUUACUUGCGAAGAACAUUUUGUGCUGGUAUGUCAACAACUCAAAAGAAUGAAAGCAUGAACAAAUUUUUUAAGAAUUAUGCUUGUUCAAGUACUAUGUUGAGUGACUUUGUGCAUCAAUAUGAGAAAUCCUUAGAUGCAUGUUAUUUUAAAGAGAAAAAAAAAGAUAUGCGAACAAAAUCUACACGGGCAAUAUUGAAAACAUGUUACAAAAUUGAAGAAGAGGCGGUCUUAGUCUAUACAAGAAAAUCUUUUAUGAUUUUUCAAUAUGAGCUUUUCAAUAGUCAACGAUACAAGUCAACCAAAUUUCAAAAGGAUGGUGAAAGCAAGACAUAUGGAGUGACACUUCAUGGUGAAGAAACCCCUAUAUAUUAUGUGACAUUGGAGAGUGGACAAGAGAAGACAACAUGCACAUGCCACAUGUAUGAGUUUAUGGAAAUUAUUUGUAGGCAUAUUCUAUGUGUCUUUGGCAAGAAAUCCAAAUUAGAUAUGCUACCACAACAUUAUAUUCUAAAGAGAUGGACAGUCAAUGCUAAAAAUCGAGUCAUUCUCGAAAUACCAAUUUCUGAAGCACAUGUAACGACAUAGGAUGAUCCUACUAUGAGGAAAAGCAAGUCAAUGAUGCAAUUUUAUGAGAUUUUAGAACUUGGGUCACAGUCAAUACAAAAAUUCAACUACCUCUCUCAUGCCUUAGACAAGAUCCAUAAGGAGUUACUUUUAACUAAAGAUACUCAAGAAAACAGUUUAGAAAGUGGAGAUAUGUCAACCAAUAAUUCUGCAAUGUUAAAAAGUCAGGUUGUAUUAAAUUUUUCACAAACAAUACAGGAUCCUCCACGGGUGCCAACAAAAGGACGAUCAAAAUCUUUGCAGACAAAGAAUCCAAAAAAGACUCAACCAGCAAAGAAAAGACAUUGUAGUAUUUGUAAGAACGAGGGACAUGCUAAGAAUAAUUGUCCUUUAGUGAGGACAUGAUUGUUGGAGUUAGAUGGUAAAGCUUUUGCAUUCUGGAUGAGUUUUGGCUUAUGUUACAGUGCAUAAAGAAGGAUGCAUUGCUCGUCAACUUAUUUUGUGAUGCAUUCUGGAUGAGUUUUGGCUUAUGUUACAGUGAAUAAAGAAGGAUAUAUUGCUCGUCAACUUAUUUUGUGAUAUUGUGGAGCAGGUUGUAUUGCUCAUCAACUUAUUUUGUGAUAUUGUGGAGUGAAUGAGAUUUUAUAUGACUUAAUUGGUGAUUUUAUGGAACUUGUUAUUUUUAUGGAGUGAAUUCAAUUUUAUACUUUUUAGGUUGUGUAGUGAAUGAGAUUUUAUGGAACUUAUUUGAUUUUAUAGAACCUAUGAUUUCAUUUUGUGGAGUGGAUGAGAUUGUAUGUCUUUUAUGCUA